UUGGAGGGCAAGUCUGGUGCCAGCAGCCGCGGUAAUUCCAGCUCCAAUAGCGUAUAUUAAAGUUGUUGCAGUUAAAAAGCUCGUAGUUGAAUUUCGGGAUCAAUUUAUCGGUCGUGCCUCUGGUAUGCACUGGUAUUAUUGAUUUCUACCUUCUGACGAACCAUGAUGUCAUUUAUUUGGUGUCAUGGGGAAUCAGGACUGUUACUUUGAAAAAAUUAGAGUGUUUAAAGCAAGCACACGCUUGAAUACAUUAGCAUGGAAUAAUGAAAUAGGACGUUUGACCCUAUUUUGUUGGUUUCUAGGAUCGACGUAAUGAUUAAUAGGGAUAGUUGGGGGCAUUAGUAUUCAAUUGUCAGAGGUGAAAUUCUUGGAUUUAUUGAAGACUAACUACUGCGAAAGCAUUUGCCAAGGAUGUUUUCAUUAAUCAAGAACGAAAGUUAGGGGAUCGAAGACGAUCAGAUACCGUCGUAGUCUUAACCAUAAACUAUGCCGACUAGGGAUCGGAUGAUGUUAAUUUUUUAAUGACUCAUUCGGCGCCUUACGGGAAAC
rnacentral:rRNA from 1 species